rnacentral:lncRNA from 1 species
UAAUACAUAGGAAUGUCAACGGGUCAAAUUCAUGACGGAUUUUAAAAAAUUCGAAUCCGAACCUGACUCCAAACCUGAAACUCGAAUUUGAACCCAAACUUAAUGGAUUUUAAAAAUUCAUAUCCAAAUUCGAACUCGAGCACAAAUCUGAAAUCCGAAUCUGAACCCGAAAAUCCAAAUCCGAAACAAUUAUUUCUCUUUCAAUAUUUCAAAAUAUAUUACAUUAAGUCUAAAUUUUUAAAAUAUAAAUUCAAAUGUAAUAUCAAAUUGUUAUAUAUAUAGA